CCGGAAUAGCUCAGUUGGUAGAGCAGAGGACUGAAAAUCCUGU
rnacentral:tRNA from 1 species